rnacentral:rRNA from 1 species
AUUGAACGCUAGCGGGAUGCUUUACACAUGCAAGUCGAACGGCAGCGCGGACUUCGGUCUGGCGGCGAGUGGCGAACGGGUGAGUAAUGUAUCGGAACGUGCCCAGUAGCGGGGGAUAACUACGCGAAAGCGUAGCUAAUACCGCAUACGCCCUACGGGGGAAAGCAGGGGAUCGUAAGACCUUUCACUAUGGGAGCGGCCGAUAUCGGAUUAGCUAGUUGGUGAGUUAACGGCUCACCAAGGCGACGAUCCGUAGCUGGUGUGAGAGGAGGACCGGCGACACUGGGACUGGGACACGGCCCAGACUCCUACGGGAGGCAGCAGUGGGGAAUGUUGGGCAAUGGGGGCAAACCUGAUCCAGCCAUCCCGCGUCUGCGAUGGAGGCCUUCGGGUUGUAAAGCACUUUUGGCAGGAAAGAAACGUCGCGGGCUAAUACCCCGUGGAACUGACGGUACCUGCAGAAUAAGCACCGGCUAACUACGUG